UACGUAGGGGGCAAGCGUUGCCCGGAUUUACUGGGCGUAAAGAGCGCGCAGGCGGUCGUUCAAGUCGCGUGUGAAAGCCCCCGGCUCAACUGGGGAGGGUCACGCGAUACUGAUCGACUCGAAGGCAGGAGAGGGAAGUGGAAUUCCCGGUGUAGUGGUGAAAUGCGUAGAUAUCGGGAGGAACACCAGUGGCGAAGGCGACUUCCUGGCCUGUUCUUGACGCUGAGGCGCGAAAGCUAGGGGAGCAAACGGG
rnacentral:rRNA from 1 species